AUACUCUACCAUCACUCUUCAAGCAAGGUAACAUCUUUAGGUACUUGACUAUCACUUUUAUAAGCUUCUCCUUGGUUCUAGCGUUCAUAUAAAUAAAAGAGACAAACAUGUAUGAUUUACAACUCUAGAUUAACCAACCCAACUGAUUCAACAUGUUUAGUCCUUUAAUCCUUGUUCUUAGUACUACCUCUAUGAUCCCACACUCCUAAUCAUAUGAGCUAAAAUGUUACACAUUCAAUCAUUGAGAGAUAUAAAGAAAAAGACAUAUACAUAGAUAGAUUAUCUUUCCAUAAGGUUGAGCGAUCUGAUCUGACAAAUGUUAUAAGUGCUACACUCAUGAACUUUUCAUCCAUCAACUUUGUCUUGCUCACUAUGCUUAGGGUUAGAGAAGAAUAAAUACACUUUAGGUUCUGUUGGUGUUUUCCACCAACAGGACCCAUGCACUUGAUCUCUGCCUUGUCUCUAUGAGCAGGGACACUUUGAGCAAAACACGGAGGAGUUUUAUAACUCUCAGACUCUACCAAGUGAAGGACCUGGACCUACGAGCACAAACACACUGAGCAGGAUACUGCCAACGCCGCACUUCGAACUGCUGGGCAAACGAAGAACAUGGGUGACACCGUAUCGAGAGGUGCAGACGUCAAGGUCCGCACCUGAAUCAAACGACGCACCUGAAGAAUGAACACGGUGAGAAGUCUUGUUAAGAAGACUUAAAACAUUGAUCCCUUGCCGAAAGGUAAGAUCAGUAGUUAUUCAUAUUUAUCCUUUCUGCAUUUCCUUUUCCCUUUAAAUAUUUACUUUCCUUAAAUAGAUUAUUAGUUAAUCAUGCUAUCUUGAAAAGAAAAUAAAAAUGUUAAAAAAUACUAAGCCCCAUGUGAGUAUACGAGUGGCAUAAAACCCAUAAGUACCUUCACUGUGGUGGCAUAAAAAUAAAAUAAAUAUUUCUUUUCUGCUUUAUAAAAUAAAAAUAUAAAAACAGGGAGUAAUAUUUAUUGAAGAAGCUCAACAUGAUGAAGGCUAGAUAUUUAUACAAACACUUAAUGAGUUCCACAAGAUUUGUUGUCUAUUUGAGCUUCACAGAAUUUAAGAAUCAAGAAAACUAGCAGACGGAGGACAUUCUAAUCGCUGUCAGAAUGCUGCUGACUUUCAAAUACACCUCUGCCACCUGCUUGCUAUAUCAAGAGAAAUUACGUCAAAAUUCAGCUUGGGGGAGAGCACCCCAUUUAUCUCGCUAAGUAUUUCUACCUAUCUUUAUACUUAUAUUAUAUUAGAAUAUUAAAAUAUAUAAACUAUGAAAAACCAAAUAAAGAUUUUGUGCUUAUAUAUAUCUUUUGCUUAGUGUGUUUAAUAAAUAAAUAAAGUUGCUAUGCUAAUCUUAAUCUUAAUAAUAAAACUCUAGCAUGGAUAUGAUGAAUAGUUGCUCAGCCUAAUUUGCAAAUUUAAAGUUCUCUCUCAAGUUUAGACAUAACUAUUAUAAUUUAAAGCUUGCUCUAGAUCUAAACUUGUGGGAUAAAAACUUGAUCUGAAAUCUAAGUUGUUAACGGAUAUGAUAUGGGAAGCUUGAGCUGCUGUUUAUCUGUUCCUAGAGAUGCUAGAAUUCUGGAAAAUUUUAUCUUUGAAAAAUCUUUAAAAUAUUGCAUGAUGAGUUCCUGUAUGAUGAAAGUUUAAAUUCCCACCACAGCCAUAUAUACAUGCUUGCUAGACUUUGAGCCACACAUUUACUAUUUACUACUUAUGAGCAUUGAGUGUGGUCAAGCUGUGUAGACCCUUAGGAGCUUGUCAUAUGGUUAAAUCAAGAUUCACUUGCACGUUCACUCAUAUAUGCCACUUCUACUCUGGAAGUACCAUCCACAUAUAUCCAUCCAUGUCCAUCUCCAGAACCACCCAAAAAUAUUCUACUCCUAAUCCGGCAGAGAAUAGCCAAAAAUAUUUCUGUUUUCUCUUGUGAAAUAAAUGUUCAAGUUAUCUUGCUACUACCACUUGCUAUAUUAUCUCAAGAGAUAAGUGCUCUGAAAAGAAAAAAAGAGAAAAGAGAAGAAAAAAAUAAAAAUAACGAGGAAAUAAAAAGGGGCAAGUGCCCGGAACCUCGAAAGAAAGAAAAAGUGAGACGAGAGGUAAAAAUGGACAAGUGUCCGACAGUAGAAUUAGGGGUACAAGAUACCCACCUGAGAGGAAAGAAAAAGAAGAGCAUCUCAUUCUCCUCAUAAAGUUUAAAAAAGCAAGGAAGGUAUGUAUCCCCUCAAAAGAGCAAAAGUAGAAUUAGACUUUCACCAUUCUUAUCACCAUCAUCACCAUACACCAUUCAUUCACCACACAUGCACAUCUUGAUUUGGCUUAUUGAUUUGUUUCUUUGGAUCCAUGGUUUGACUAUACAAUAAAUGUCUUGUAAGUAUGUAUACUUUAUCUCCCACCUAUGAGCUCCAGAUAUUAAAGCCUUAUUAGAGUAGGGUGAGAGAGAAGGCAAUGUCACUAUGCCUUAUACCACAAAUACAACAUAUCUUGAGAGAAGGCAUAUACCAUCACUGCCUUGGUAAGGAUCCAAAAAUACCACAAAAGAGAGAUUUAGAGAGCCAUACAAGGAAUCUCUGAGUUUUAUUUGAAAAUCUACAAAAACUCCAAAGCUAUAGCUGAUCAAGAAUAAGAGACAUGGCACUUGGCUAGACUAUUCUAUCUUUUAACUACUCAAGACAUAAGUGACGGUUACAAGUCCCAUGGUGAAAGGUAAAGUAAGUAAGUUUUAGUUCUUGACAGUUUACUCUAACUCAGAGAUGAGAUCUUAUUUAAAAGCAUGUGUACUGUCAAAUUUUUAAGAUAUUGCAACAACUUCUGAUCCAUUGCUGAGUCUAUCCUUGCUCAGGGACGAGCAAGAGGUAAGCUUGGGGGAGUUUGUUGAUGGUCCUUAAGUAUCAAAUUUAAUUAUCAAAUAAACAAAGAAAAGGAUCCAAAUGAAAUCAACAUCUAGACAUAGGGUUUUAUCUGACAGAAUUCCACGAGUUUUGGUGUUUGUCUAUUUCUGCAGGGGGUUAUCAGGAAAUACGGAAGGAAGGCCCACAUGUCGGGAUUACAUAGAGAUAUUAACAUGUCGUGCAAUUAUCUUACAUCUAGAAGACUUCAGAAGCCACGGGAAGGAAGCGGAGGCCGAACGUGGCCAGAGGCAGGGUGCCCGCCCUCCUGCCCUGGGCGCCCGCCCUGACUUGGAGCCCAAUCAGGACUCUUUCUCUCGGGAGAUCUCCACAGGCCUAAAGGAUCUAGAAUAACUGUUCAAUCAAUGUCGGUUUGAUCCGACGGCCCAGGUUUACUUGAGGGGACUAUAUAACCAGACCCCCUGGCCCCUGGAAGAGGCAACCCCUUGAUCAUUAUUUAUUAUUCA
rnacentral:lncRNA from 1 species